AAUGGGUCAGCGACUUAUAUUCUGUAGCAAGGUUAACCGAAUAGGGGAGCCGAAGGGAAACCGAGUCUUAACUGGGCGUUAAGUUGCAGGGUAUAGACCCGAAACCCGGUGAUCUAGCCAUGGGCAGGUUGAAGGUUGGGUAACACUAACUGGAGGACCGAACCGACUAAUGUUGAAAAAUUAGCGGAUGACUUGUGGCUGGGGGUGAAAGGCCAAUCAAACCGGGAGAUAGCUGGUUCUCCCCGAAAGCUAUUUAGGUAGCGCCUCGUGAAUUCAUCUCCGGGGGUAGAGCACUGUUUCGGCAAGGGGGUCAUCCCGACUUACCAACCCGAUGCAAACUGCGAAUACCGGAGAAUGUUAUCACGGGAGACACACGGCGGGUGCUAACGUCCGUCGUGAAGAGGGAAACAACCCAGACCGCCAGCUAAGGUCCCAAAGUCAUGGUUAAGUGGGAAACGAUGUGGGAAGGCCCAGACAGCCAGGAUGUUGGCUUAGAAGCAGCCAUCAUUUAAAGAAAGCGUAAUAGCUCACUGGUCGAGUCGGCCUGCGCGGAAGAUGUAACGGGGCUAAACCAUGCACCGAAGCUGCGGCAGCGACACUGUGUGUUGUUGGGUAGGGGAGCGUUCUGUAAGCCUGCGAAGGUGUGCUGUGAGGCAUGCUGGAGGUAUCAGAAGUGCGAAUGCUGACAUAAGUAACGAUAAAGCGGGUGAAAAGCCCGCUCG
rnacentral:rRNA from 1 species